AUGGAAGAUGUUGCUGAGGAAUACUUUGACGAAUUGUUGUCGGCCUCAUUUCUACAAAUUGGAGGGAAAGAAAGGGUACCUGCACAUGACCGUGUGGUUGAUUACUUUACAAUUCAUGAUCUGCUCUGUGAUUUAGCGGAGGAGGUUGCCGGAAGAGAUUGCUUCAGGAUCGAGAAAGGCUUCAUAGGAGAAGUUCCUCAAGAUGUUCGCUAUCUUUUUGUUGGGACUUAUGAUAGAGAGAUGCUUACUAAGAAGAUACCAGGAUUGCAAAAUUUACGCACUCUCAUCAUUGAUGGCAUGAUAAAGGUUCAAUCAAACGCGCGCGCUGUCUUUAGGAGUUUUUUCAUUAUGUUCACGGGGCUGUCGAAAUUGCGGGUGGUAGAUUUUGGUCUUUGCAUUAAUUUGGCGUUCCGUUGUGGUGAAGAUAUGAUGAACCUUGUCAACUUGCGGUGCGUAAUCAGCAAGGCAGAUCUGGCAUUUCCAAACAUUGGCAGGCUGACAUGGCUCCAUAUCUUACCAUUCUUCACAAUAAAGAGGAUACAUGGGUAUGAGUCACAUCAGUUGAAACACCUAAACAAACUUCAAGGCAAGCUGCAGAUCCAUGGUAUUGAGCAUGUUAAGACUAAGGAAGAGGCUGUUGAAAUCAAUCUUGCUGGCAAGGAAAGACUCACAGAACUAGUACUGGUGUGGGAUCAUGAUCACUUUCGCAUUCCAGAACCAGAGGUUCAAGCAGAGGUACUUGAGGGCCUUUGCCCUUGGAAGUAUCUUGAAAGACUAGAAAUCCGGAAUUACCAAGGUAGGAAGAUACCGAGUUGGCUGAUGGGUAAGCAUAAAGUCUGCCCAAAGAACCUGCAAGAGCUUAAGUUCAGCAGAUGCAGCUGGGAUGCCUUGCCGGGUAAUACAGAGCACCUCACGUUACUCAAGAAUGCGAUAUAUAGAGAUCGGUGA
rnacentral:rRNA from 1 species